rnacentral:rRNA from 2 species
AGCUUGCUCUCUUGGCGGCGAGUGGCGGACGGGUGAGUAAUAUAUCGGAACGUGCCCAGUAGCGGGGGAUAACUACUCGAAAGAGUGGCUAAUACCGCAUACGCCCUACGGGGGAAAGGGGGGGAUCGCAAGACCUCUCACUAUUGGAGCGGCCGAUAUCGGAUUAGCUAGUUGGUGGGGUAAAGGCUCACCAAGGCAACGAUCCGUAGCUGGUUUGAGAGGACGACCAGCCACACUGGGACUGAGACACGGCCCAGACUCCUACGGGAGGCAGCAGUGGGGAAUUUUGGACAAUGGGGGAAACCCUGAUCCAGCCAUCCCGCGUGUAUGAUGAAGGCCUUCGGGUUGUAAAGUACUUUUGGCAGAGAAGAAAAGGUAUCCCCUAAUACGGGAUACUGCUGACGGUAUCUGCAGAAUAAGCACCGGCUAACUACGUGCCAGCAGCCGCGGUAAUACGUAGGGUGCAAGCGUUAAUCGGAAUUACUGGGCGUAAAGCGUGUGUAGGCGGUUCGGAAAGAAAGAUGUGAAAUCCCAGGGCUCAACCUUGGAACUGCAUUUUUAACUGCCGAGCUAGAGUAUGUCAGAGGGGGGUAGAAUUCCACGUGUAGCAGUGAAAUGCG